rnacentral:rRNA from 1 species
AUCAAUGCGAAGCGCUCCGCGUUUUGCGAUUGGAAUGAGAGCAAUGUAAAACCCUCAUCGAGGAUCCACUGGAGGGCAAGUCUGGUGCCAGCAGCCGCGGUAAUUCCAGCUCCAGUAAUCUAUACAAACGUUGUUGCAGUUAAAAAGCUCGUAGUUGAAUGUCUGGUGGGGUGCGGGUGCCCUUUGGCUUCGGCCAUUGCGUGCGCCUUGUGCCUGGCCCCUUUUUUGGGUCCUUUUUGGAACAAAACUGUCACUAGAAAGAAAUGCGAAUGCCCCUUUUUUGGUCCAUUUUUGGAUCAAAUCGUUCACUGUAAUGAAAUCGGAGUGCUCCAAGCAGGCCGUAGGGCCGGUACGUUCGUUACAAGAUGAUAAGACAGGACUGGGGCGUGGCUAUUGGUUUGCUCGUCCAGGUAAUGGUGAAUAGGAACGGUUGGGGGUAUCCGUAUUUCGAAGCUAGAGGUGAAAUUCUUGGAUUUUCGAAAGACGCACCAAAGCGAAGG